AGGAGGAAGGCAGGAAGCAGCAGGGUCUAGGGGUAGAAGGGCCCCCAGACCCCGGGAACAGGACCGAGACGUGCAGCUGUCCAAGGCUCUGUCCUAUGCCCUGCGCCAUGGGGCCUUGAAGCUGGGGCUUCCCAUGGGAGCUGAGGAGAGCAAGGCCUAGAGGCCCUGUCAUGUCCACAGCAGACUGAGGAGAAUUCUUGUCUGGGCCAGGCCUGGUGACCGCCCCCUCCAGCCAAGCAGCCAGAUCAGCACUUACCUCGAGGGUGUACCCCGGAGGGUAUGGGGCAGCUGGUGUUGUGAGUGUGCACUCCAGGCCAGCUCUACGCUGAGCACUCACCUCCCUGCCCCUCCGUGAGGCAGAUCCUCUUUUUAUGUAAGUUGAAAAAACUGGGACCCAGAAAGGGGAGACUCAAAAGGUCCUACAGAGGAUGCCCAAGCGAUCUCCAAGCCCAGACUUUGUUUCGGUUGCCUGUAGCUCCCUGUUAACCCUGGCCCGGUCCAGAGCAAGAUUGGCUCCUGAGCACCCUGCCUGCCCACAGAUGGCUUCGUGCCCCUGGGCGCCCUUCUGCAGUUGCCCCAGUUCCGCGGCUUCUCUGCUGAAGAUGUGCAGCGCGUGGUGGACACCAAUAGGAAGCAGCGGUUUGCCCUGCAGCAGGGGGAUCCCAGCACUGGCCUUCUCAUCCGAGCCAACCAGGGCCAUUCCCUGCAGGUACCUGAGUUGGAGUUGAUGCCCCUGGAGACGCCACAGGCCCUGCCCCCGAUGCUAGUCCAUGGUACAUUCUGGAAGCACUGGCCAUCCAUCCUACUCAAGGGCCUGUCCUGCGGGGGAAGGACACACAUCCACCUGGCCCCAGGACUGCCUGGAGACCCCAGUGUCAUCAGUGGUCAGUGCCCUUCCCUCUCACCUAGCUACUCCCACCCACUCUGUCCUCCCAGGUCCCCUCCAAAGGUUGCAACACUUGUCUGAGGCCACCCCAUGCCUGGCAUGGAGCAGCAACCCUGCAAUCCCAGCCCAGGACCCCAGUCUACCCAGGUUGCUGACUGCCCUCUAGGUGCCCAGUCCCCAGCUUCAGCUGUCUCUGCAGGCAUGCGGCCCCAUUGUGAAAUAGCUGUGUUCAUUGAUGGACCCCUGGCUCUGGCAGAUGGAAUAUCCUUCUUCCGCUCUGCCAAUGGGGUGAUUCUGACUCCAGGGAAUACUGAUGGCUUCCUGCUUCCCAAGUACUUCAAGGAGGCCCUGCAGCUACGCCCUACCCGAAAGCCCCUUUCCUUGGCUGGUGAUGAAGAGACAGUGUGUCGGAGUGGCCCCAAGCACUGCUCCAGAGAAAGGAGAAGGAUCCAACAAUAAAAUAUUAAUUUAUAAAAAAGAAAUUUUAAAAAGUAACAAGAAA